UUUUUUUUUUUCAAAAUUGUCUAUUGUUUUAUUCCCAAUUGAACAGUACCUUUUGGACCCCUCCUGUUCUCGAUAAUUCCUCCACCUCCUCUACUAACCUUAACCUGCUCUAUCUUCAACCGAUAAAAGACUGCAUACGUGUUCUCUUCUCAGACAACCCGCUGACAUUUGUUUUCAUCCUUCGCACCGCCUAAUAUACCCAAUUCAGUUUCUCCCCCUAAUCGGUGCUCCAGGUAAAUUUUUCUCUAUCCACCGUCAUCGACUCUUCCCCCUCACUGUCUCUACAAACCACCGCCAUCAACUCUUCCUUAUGGGUGGCGGCAGGAGCUGCUCCAAUGGCUCCUGUUGCUUCGUUCCCGGCGAUUUCGUCGAGUGGGAAAGGGCAGGGAACAAUCUGAUCACCACAUACGAAUUCGGUGGUGAAUUUGGGUCAAGAGAUAGUGUUUCUUGGAUGGUGGUCGCUCGGCACAACAGCAACAGCAACACCACCACCACCGUCUCAUGCCUUCUUCUUCUGAAAAUCGUUGACUUCAAGUUCUACGAAAUCAUGUAUCAACCAAAGAAUGCCCUAAGCUUUGAUGUAUUUGUAAGAAGUGAAAACUGUACAUGCUCAAUCGACAAUUUUUUUCAGAUGAAGAUGAAGCUACUGACAUGAUUAAUAAUUUUCCAAAGGCCUUUGGUUUAUAUUUGCGUGCUCAUCUGUCGAGCAAAAGAAAAAGGAAAACGGAGGCAACAUGGAUUCAGGUAAACAUUUACAAUUAAUAUGUUUGGUUUUCCUUCUUUGGCUAAUCGGAAGAAAAGAGACAUGAAAUUGAUAUCAAAUUUCUUUGAUGGUUGAUGGGUUUGAGGUAUGUAUUCUUCUUUGAAUCUUUUACAUUUGAUUAUUUUGGAAACGAUUUGCCUAUGAAUAGGGAACUAUAUUUUGCAGGAAAAUAUAUAUUUGGCUCUCCGGAGUCCAACCAAGAAUUAGCAGUUGUCUCUCUUAACUCCACAAUUGUUCCUCUGCGCCAUCAAGAGCAACAAAAGGGGAUAUAUUCCAUAGUUUAGAUUUUAAUAUUCAUUUAAUUUAAUUAGAUCAAUGUUUUGUUUUAUAAUUACUUGAUAAAAAGCUCUAAUUAUGUUUCAGUUUUCCAUUUUAUUCUACAGUAUUUGGUUGCAAUUUGAAGGUUCACAACUGUGAAACUAAAUCAACAGGUGGUGAACACAUGAAAAUCAGUCGCUUAGAAUUACAAGAAGCCUCACUACAACUCUUAAUGUUCUCAUUGUCAAUAGGUGGUGAACUAGCAACCACACCCACAUGAUAUGGUUGGGGGAUGGAGACAAGUAUAUGGUCAUUUACAGAUAUUUUAUUGAUGUUUUGGUACUAUAUUAAAUAAAUGUUCCGGACAACUUUUGAAUGCUGAUAAAUGGUUGCUGCUUUUUAAUCAAAGGUCUUCAUCUUAUAAAACAUUCGAUAUAUGGUUCUUCAAGGUAUGUGAAGCUAAAAAAGUUGAACAUGAAACUCACUUAGAAAGAAAAACUAUCUGAUGCAGCAAGAGAUGAAUAUGAUGAUAUGAUUCAUUCCCUAAGCCCUUGACAUUAUAAAGAAUUCAGAUUAAGGAAGUCAUGGGUUUUGUAUUAGAUAACAUGGAAACUACUAGAAAGAUAAAUAUUCCAGUUUCUAUUUCACAUCUGGUAAGGGUAAGAUGGUCAUUUAUAUAAAACCAGUUUUUUAGUGUAUUAGUAUUCCUUUGUUUCUUAAUCAGCUUUAUUGGUUAAUGAUGUAUUUUCCAAGCAAGCAUCAAUAUAUUAGAUUUCCUCCAAAUGCUUAAUUUCUUUUUGAUGGGACAACAUCAACACAUGAUGUCCUUUUAUCUUAUACAAAUACAAUAAUAUUAUAGAAUAAAAAUAAAAAAUAGUAAAUAUUUAUUAAAAAGGGCGAUAUGUUCAUUAUACUUCAAGUAGGAACCGAAAUUUCUAUAAAAUCCCUCAAACAACGACUUCAAAUUCAUUUCGAGUUUUAGGUUUAAAUAACUUUUUGAGGUUUAAAUGGAAAUAAUUAAUUUUUUGUUUAUAAUCUUAUUAAUUGUUCAUUAUUAUAUGUUGAUCUGGAAAUGGUUAUUUUACAUGUAGUUACUGUAAACUGUUAUCUCUGUCAUCAAUUUCAUGGACAAAAGUCUUUUCCAGAUUUGCUUUUGGGGAUAAAAAAAUGUUACGAGUUCUGUCUGAUAACCACCUUUAUAAUUUUCAAAAAAAACCUUAAAGUUGGCAAUGGUUUAUUAGAAGACAUGGCUCAGGCAUGACGUCGCAAUGGGAACAAAUGAAAGUAGAGAGCUAUAAAAAAUUAAAUGAAGUACAUUGCUUUUUCUUGCAUUAAGCUAUUUUGAUAACCUGCUUAUUGACAAAAAGUAUGUUUUUCUUUAUUAUCUAUUUUCACAAAUGAAUGGGAACUGAAAAAACCGAGACUCCCAAAGAAGGCUGGUCAUAAGUAGGACCAGAAUGUGUAUUGGGCGAUAUGAACGCAUGGAGUUGUAUGGGAUGCUUCUUUAUGGCACAUGCAUGAGGUACUUAACAGAUCCCAGAGCCACAAAACAAAAUAGAUUUUAUUUUUGAUUGCAAAUUGAAUCAUCAAAUGAUUAAAUAUGCAUUUGAUUCAAAUUUUCAACCAACCUGUUUGCUUUAAGAUUCUUGAAGAUUAGUUACUUGGUAUUGUCAUCUGUGUGUUGUGAAUGAUUAUUGGAGAUGAAAAAAAUGAAGUUAGUUGAGAUUUGAAUGAUAAGUGAAGUACACAUGUUUGUAAAUUUUUCUUUUGUAUUAUGCUUUGUUGUCAACAAAGGUCUCAAAGUAAUAAAGUACUUGCAUAUACUACAAAACACCAGCAUAUACUUCCAAGUGCUCUUGCAUCUUGAGUAAUUCCGUUAAUGCUUACAAUUCUUUAUAUAGCUUGUGGUUUUCGGUUGCAAAGAAUAGCAACAUACUUUACUGUGGCUACCAAUUCGGCCUACGUACUAUAGUUUCACAAAAAAUGACACCUUCCGACCCCCGCAACGCGGGGGAAAUCCUUCUAGUUAUUAUUAUGAUUUUGGUGUUUAACCGGGAAUGUUGCUUGGUUUAUCAAAUAAUGCUGGAGUUUUGGCUGGUGUCUUUGGCACUGCAGCAACCGGUUACGUCUUGCAACAUGGCAGGUUGUUGGGAUGAUGUGUUUCAGGUGACAAUUGGGCUAUAUUUGGUUGGAACAAUGAUAUGAAAUCUUUUUUCAAUGGGUGAAAAAAUAAUUUACUAAAAGCCAUAUAUAUAUAUAUAUAUAUAUAUAUAUAUAUAUAUAUGUAUUGUCUGAUUUAUCACCCGCGAUGAUUGAUGAUACGAAUUAAAAUUCACGAAUUGCUGCAACGGUUUCUUGAGGCUCCAUAGAAACAUAUUAGUUUUUAGAAGCUCUAAAUCAAACAUGACUUUUUGGCACACGAAAAUGUUUUGGACAAAGAAUAACACGAAGACUAUGACGACUUUGUAAAAAAGCCAUAUAGGAAAAUUAGACACACGUUUUGAUAGAAUCUGCAUAUUUUCUUUUUAUACCAGAUAUGGGACAAAAAAAUAUUUAGGCAUUUAUGGAAUAUAAUAAUGGCUACGGAAAAUUUCCGUAGCUAAUUAGCUACGGAAUGGCUACGGAUUAGCUACAGAAUGGGACGUCCUAAUUUAGUAACAGGAAUAGCUACGGAAUAACUACGGACGCAAUUCCGUAGCUAAUUAGCUACGGAAUAGCUACGGAAUCACUACGGAUUCAACUCCGUAGCCAUUCUGUAGCUAAUUAGCUUCGGAAUAGCUACGGAAUAGUUACGGAUGAUAACUCGUAGCUAUUCCGUAGCUAAUUAGCUACAAAAUGGUUACGGAAUAGCUAUGGAUAUAAUAUUAAACCAUUAAAUGAAUAAAGGAUCUCGAAGGUGCAAACGACUGUAUCAACACUAUUAAUGACUAUAAGUUGUUGAAAAUAAAGAUAAUCGUGUAUAAUAGAGGUGAGAAAAAAACGAAGAGAAAAAACCGAUGUUUAAUGCCCGGAAAAUCAAAAAUAACAAA